rnacentral:rRNA from 1 species
UAGUGGCGAACGGGUGAGUAACGCGUAGACAACCUGCCUUCUAGAUGGGGACAACGUUCCGAAAGGAACGCUAAUACCGAAUGUCCUAUCGUUUCUGCAUGGGAACGAUAGCAAAGGUGGCCUCUUAGCAAUGCUACGCUAGAAGAUGGGUCUGCGUCUGAUUAGCUAGUUGGUGAGGUAACGGCUCACCAAGGCGACGAUCAGUAGCCGGUCUGAGAGGAUGAACGGCCACACUGGGACUGAGACACGGCCCAGACUCCUACGGGAGGCAGCAGUGGGGAAUCUUCCGCAAUGGACGAAAGUCUGACGGAGCAACGCCGCGUGAGUGAAGAAGGUUUUCGGAUCGUAAAGCUCUGUUUUCAGGGACGAACGGCAGAAAUAUGAAUAAUAUAUCUGCAUGACGGUACCUGAGGAGGAAGCCACGGCUAACUACGUGCCAGCAGCCGCGGUAAUACGUAGGUGGCAAGCGUUGUCCGGAAUUAUUGGGCGUAAAGGGCGUGUAGGCGGGAUAAUAAGUCUGUUGUAAAAGUGCGGGGCUCAACCCCGUAAGGNCAAUG